UACAGAGGUCCCGAGCGUUGUUCGGAUUCACUGGGCGUAAAGGGUGCGUAGGUGGCUACUGAAAGUUUGAUGUGAAAUCUCCGGGCUCAACCCGGAAAGAGCAUUGAAUACUGCAGAGCUGGAGGUUUGGAGGGGGGACUGGAAUUCUCGGUGUAGCAGUGAAAUGCGUAGAUAUCGAGAGGAACACCAGUGGCGAAGGCGAGUCCCUGGACAACACCUGACACUGAGGUGCGAAAGCGUGGGGAGCAAACAGG
rnacentral:rRNA from 1 species